rnacentral:tRNA from 1 species
GGGGGGAUGACUCUAUGGGUAAGAGUGCUUGCUGGGCAAGCAUGAGAGCCUGAGUUCAAAUCCUCAGCCUCCACG